rnacentral:sRNA from 1 species
ACCAGGCAAGGUGGCGCAUGCCUGUAAUCCUAGCUACUCCGGCGGCUGAGGCAGGAGGAUCUCAAGUUCAAAGUCAGCUUCAGCAACUUAGCAAGGUCCUGAGCAACUUAGGAAGAUCCUGUCUCAA